GUGCUGGAGAAUCUGGUAAAAGCACCAUUGUGAAGCAGAUGAGGAUCCUGCAUGUUAAUGGGUUUAAUGGAGAGGGCGGCGAAGAGGACCCGCAGGCUGCAAGGAGCAACAGCGAUGGCAGUGAGAAGGCAACCAAAGUGCAGGACAUCAAAAACAACCUGAAAGAGGCGAUUGAAACCAUUGUGGCCGCCAUGAGCAACCUGGUGCCCCCCGUGGAGCUGGCCAACCCCGAGAACCAGUUCAGAGUGGACUACAUUCUGAGUGUGAUGAACGUGCCUGACUUUGACUUCCCUCCCGAAUUCUAUGAGCAUGCCAAGGCUCUGUGGGAGGAUGAAGGAGUGCGUGCCUGCUAUGAACGCUCCAACGAGUACCAGCUGAUUGACUGUGCCCAGUACUUCCUGGACAAGAUCGACGUGAUCAA
rnacentral:sRNA from 1 species